CCUACGGGAGGCUGCAGUGAGGAAUAUUGGUCAAUGGACGAGAGUCUGAACCAGCCAAGUAGCGUGAAGGAUGACUGCCCUAUAGGUUGUAAACUUCUUUUAUAUGGGAAUAAAAUGUUCCACGUGUGGGAUUUUGUAUGUACCAUAUGAAUAAGGAUCGGCUAACUCCGUGCCAGCAGCCGCGGUAAUACGGAGGAUCCGAGCGUUAUCCGGAUUUAUUGGGUUUAAAGGGAGCGUAGGUGGAUUGUUAAGUCAGUUGUGAAAGUUUGCGGCUCAACCGUAAAAUUGCAGUUGAAACUGGCAGUCUUGAGUACAGUAGAGGUGGGCGGAAUUCGUGGUGUAGCGGUGAAAUGCUUAGAUAUCACGAAGAACUCCGAUUGCGAAGGCAGUUCACUGGACUGAAACUGACACUGAGGCUCGAAAGUGUGGGUAUCAAACAGGAUUAGAUACCCGUGUAGUC
rnacentral:rRNA from 1 species